rnacentral:sRNA from 1 species
GGUUUUAACCCAGUAACCAAGGUUGGCUGUCGUUUCGAACUCUCGAAAGAGUGUCGAAUAACUAAAACUUCUGGAAACGCUUCUUCGGGGUUAUCCGAAGAGGCAGA